UUCAUUGCAUUCUCUUACUCUAUGCUCAAUCAAUAAACUAUAAUGCAACGCACAAAUAUAUUGUAAAUUUCCACACUUUAGAGGAUUCAUACAGUGGAUUUUAACAAGUCUGGUGUAAUUAAUAUGAACGAUUGAGACUACCGCCUGUUUGCUUUAUUUGCUCUGUUUAUCUUGUGUAUAGAGAGUUCGUAUGGGGGGCUAUUGCUGGAGCUUUUGGGGAAGGUAUGAUGCACCCGAUUGAUACAGUGAAGACCCGGAUACAAAGCCAAGCUAUUUUCAGUGCAUCCCAGAAUCAGAAAAGCAUACUACAGAUGGUACGAACUGUUUGGUUUACCAACGGAUUAACUGAGGAGUAACACCAGGGGUCACUGGAUCUCUUGCCACGGGUGCUACAUACUUUGGCAUCAUAGAAUCUAGCAAGAAGUGGGUAGAACAAUCACAUCCGAGCCUCAGUGGCCAUUGGUCACAUUUCAUUGCCGGUGCUAUU